GGCCGAGUGGCGGAAUGGCAGACGCUGCGGACUUAAAAUCCGCUGGGGGGCAACCCCCGUGGGGGUUCGAAUCCCCCCUCGGCUA
rnacentral:tRNA from 1 species